rnacentral:rRNA from 1 species
UACGUAGGGGGCAAGCGUUGUCCGGAAUUAUUGGGCGUAAAGAGCUCGUAGGCGGUCUGUCGCGUCGGCUGUGAAAACUCGGGGCUCAACCCCGAGCCUGCAGUCGAUACGGGCAGACUAGAGUGCUGUAGGGGAGACUGGAAUUCCUGGUGUAGCGGUGAAAUGCGCAGAUAUCAGGAGGAACACCGGUGGCGAAGGCGGGUCUCUGGGCAAGUAACUGACGCUGAGGAGCGAA